rnacentral:rRNA from 1 species
AUUGAACGCUGGCGGCAUGCCUUACACAUGCAAGUCGAACGGUAACGGGUCUUCGGAUGCUGACGAGUGGCGAACGGGUGAGUAGUACAUCGGAACGUGCCCGAGAGUGGGGGAUAACGAGGCGAAAGCUUUGCUAAUACCGCAUACGAUCUCAGGAUGAAAGCAGGGGACCGCAAGGCCUUGCGCUCACGGAGCGGCCGAUGGCAGAUUAGGUAGUUGGUGGGAUAAAAGCUUACCAAGCCGACGAUCUGUAGCUGGUCUGAGAGGACGACCAGCCACACUGGGACUGAGACACGGCCCAGACUCCUACGGGAGGCAGCAGUGGGGAAUUUUGGACAAUGGGCGCAAGCCUGAUCCAGCCAUGCCGCGUGCAGGAUGAAGGCCUUCGGGUUGUAAACUGCUUUUGUACGGAACGAAAAGACUCUGGUUAAUACCUGGGGUCCAUGACGGUACCGUAAGAAUAAGCACCGGCUAACUACGUGCCAGCAGCCGCCGUAAUAC